rnacentral:tRNA from 1 species
GCCCCCGUAGCUCAGCAUGGAUAGAGCAUCGGUUUCCUAAACCGGGGGUCAGAGGUUCGAAUCCUCUCGGGGGCGCCA